UACGUAGGUGGCAAGCGUUGUCCGGAUUUACUGGGCGUAAAGAGCGCGCAGGCGGUCGUGCAAGUCGCGUGUGAAAGCCCCCGGCUCAACUGGGGAGGGUCACGCGAUACUGCUCGACUCGAAGGCAGGAGAGGGAAGUGGAAUUCCCGGUGUAGUGGUGAAAUGCGUAGAUAUCGGGAGGAACACCAGUGGCGAAGGCGACUUCCUGGCCUGUUCUUGACGCUGAGGCGCGAAAGCUAGGGUAGCAAACGGGA
rnacentral:rRNA from 1 species